rnacentral:rRNA from 1 species
UACGUAGGUGGCAAGCGUUGUCCGGAUUUACUGGGCGUAAAGAGCGCGCAGGCGGUCGUUCAAGUCGCGUGUGAAAGCCCCCCGGCUCAACUGGGGGAGGGUCACGCGAUACUGAUCGACUCGAAAGGCAGGAGAGGGGAAAGUGGGAAAUUCCCCGGGUGUAGUGGUGAAAAUGCGUAGGAUAUCGGGGAGGAACACCAGUGGCGAAGGG